AUGAACGCUGGCGGCGUGCCUCAUCCCUGCAAGUCGAGCGAACAGAUGAGGAGCUUGCUCCUCUGACGUUAGCGGCAGACGGGUGAGUAACACGUGGAUAACCUACCUAUAAGACUGGGAUAACUUCGGGAAACCGGAGCUAAUACCGGAUAAUAUAUUGAACCGCAUGGUUCAAUAGUGAAAGACGGUUUUGCUGUCACUUAUAGAUGGAUCCGCGCCGCAUUAGCUAGUUGGUAAGGUAACGGCUUACCAAGGCAACGAUGCGUAGCCGACCUGAGAGGGCGAUCGGCCACACUGGAACUGAGACACGGUCCAGACUCCUACGGGAGGCAGCAGUAGGGAAUCUUCCGCAAUGGGCGAAAGCCUGACGGAGCAACGCCGCGUGAGUGAUGAAGGUCUUCGGAUCGUAAAACUCUGUUAUUAGGGAAGAACAAAUGUGUAAGUAACUAUGCACGUCUUGACGGUACCUAAUCAGAAAGCCACGGCUAACUACGUG
rnacentral:rRNA from 1 species